rnacentral:lncRNA from 1 species
GUCAGUGAAGAGAGAUAAUUUCACUUCUUUUUCUAUUCAGAUGCCUUUUAUUUUUUUUCUCUUGCCUGAUUGCUCUUGCUAAGACUUCCAGUACUAUGUUGAAUAGGAGUGGUGAGAGGGAACAUCCUGUUCUUAAGGGGAAUGCUUCCAGCAUUUCCUCAUUCAGGAUGACAUUGGCUGUGGGUUUUCCAUAAAUGGCUUUUACUAUUUUGAGGUAUCUUCCUUUGAUGCUUAGUUUACUGAGGGUUUUUAUCAUGAAGGGAUGUUGAAUUUUAACAAAAGGUUGCUCAGCAUCUAUCAAGGCUAUCAUAAGGUUCUGGUAUGAAGAUGGCUUCAUAGCAUCAUCCCUCCUCCUGAUGGCUGGAUUCCCUCCUCCAUUUUUUUUUUUUUUGGAAUAGUUUAAGUAGAAUUGAUACCAGCUUUUCUGUUAAAAUUUGGUUGUGAAUCCAUCUGGUCCAGGUUAGUUGCAAGGGUCUGCUGCUUCACUCCUGAAGUCAGCUAGACCAUGAACCCACCAGGAGGAACAAACUCUGGACACACCAUCUUUAAGAACUGUAACACUCACUGGGAGGAGCCACAGCUUCAUUCUUGAAGUCAGCAAGACCAAGAACCUACCGGAAGUAACCAAUUCCAGAUACAAUGUCAUACUACAUUUCAACAAACAUUGUGCUACAAUACAAUGCAUUUAAAAUAUUUGGACUUUUUCAAACUUUCAACUUUUAGAAGACUAACAUUUUCUUUAAAAUAUAUGUUGCUUUUCUCUGUUAUUUAUGGGUUAUUUAGCCAACAAUUUGUGAUUGAAGCUGUGUGUCCAAGCAAUUGGAGCUUCUGAAUUUAAUAAAAACAAAUCUUCACCAUUUGGUUUCCAUUAUUUAGCACAAUGAAGUAAAUACUGUGCCUUUAAAUGCUUUUUUGACAUACUAUUUAAAUGUUUUAUUGACAUAUUAUUUAAUCUGUGUAAUAAUACUAUGUAUAGGUCAUAUAACACCUAUUUUAAAAUGAAGAAAUAAGGCCCAGAGAAUUUAAAUAAAUCACCCAAGGUCACACAGACAAUCAAAAGCAGAGCUAAAUUUUUAACCCAGGUUUAUCUAACUCCAAAGCUCAUGGUCUUAAUCACACUGUAGUUUACAUUGCAUUAUUUAAAUGAGUGAGCAUCAUUAUUAAGUGAAUGAGUAUAUAACUUAUUUUCUUUUAGCCAUUUCAGGGAGCCUGUUUUCCAUCACAUGGAAGAUAAUUUCACAAUAAUAUGACUAUUCUUCUCUCAUAGCCAUAAGAUGAUGAAAAUAAAUCAUUUAAAGUGCAUUUUCUUACCUAGAAAUGUCUUUUGUUUGGCAGAAUGAUUAAAAUAACUGUCACUUAUUCACUUAGGAAAAUAAAAGUAGUUGAAGGGGAGAAUAACUUUAUAAAGUGAUAUUUUCAGCAGCAAGGGUGGCCUCUUUUUCUUCUCUUCAACACAAUUAUUUCUAGUUAAUUUUACUGAGGGAGGGAAUUUCAUGAAUUUUGUACUCUGUAUUUAGUGACCAAUAUGUUUCUCAAGGUGCUAAUUUUCUGUUAAUGAGCAAUUGCUGUGGUUGGUUGGCAUUAUAAACUGAAGUUUAUAAACUACUUUAAAAAAUUAGUUAAAAUAUCUGAUUGUGAUCCUACCAGAAGGUAACAUUAGAAACCUAUUGAAAUGAUCCGUAGCUUUAUUUUUUUUGUUAAGCAUAAUUGUAUUGCUUGAUAAUAUGUACUAAUCAUCAAGAGUCAUAGUAAACAUAUAAUCUACUCACCAACUGAAAUC